AUUGAACGCUGGCGGCAGGCCUAACACAUGCAAGUCGAACGAGUGGCGGACGGGUGAGUAAUGUCUGGGAAACUGCCUGAUGGAGGGGGAUAACUACUGGAAACGGUAGCUAAUACCGCAUACCAUCGGAUGUGCCCAGAUGGGAUUAGCUAGUAGGUGGGGUAAAGGCUCACCUAGGCGACGAUCCCUAGCUGGUCUGAGGGGAUGACCGGCAAGCGUGGAACUGUGACACGGCCCAGACUCCUACGGGGGGCAUCAGUGGGGAAUAUUGCACAAGGGGCGCAAGCCUGAUGCAGCCAUGCCGCGUGUAUGAAGAAGGCCUUCGGGUUGUAAAGUACUUUCAGCGGGGAGGCGUUACCCGCAGAAUAAGCACCGGCUAACUCCGUGCCAGCAGCCGCGGUAAUA
rnacentral:rRNA from 1 species